CUGUGGACACCUCAUCUCUGCAGGAGCGGAUCCAGGCCAGGCCUGACCCCAAGGAGGCACUGAGUGACUUCCUGAAGUGGCAGAAGACUGGACAUUUUGCCAGCACUGAGGAAGUAGCCCUGCUUUGCGUGUACCUGGCCUCUGACGAGUCAGCCUACAUGACAGGCAAUGCUGUCAUUGAUGGGGGCUGGAGCCUGUGAGCCCAGGACCUAGGGCUCAGAAAACCUGGUGAGGGAAGAAGAUGCCUGCCCGUCCAUCCGUCUGUCUGGGAAACCCCUUGUCCAG